UACGGAGGGGGCGAGCGUUGUCCGAAGUUACUGGGCGUAAAGCGCGCGUAGGCGGGUUGGUAAGUCCGCUGUGAAAGCCCGGAGCUCAACUCCGGAGGGUCGGUGGAUACUGCCAGUCUUGAAGGUGCUAGGGGGAGAUGGAAUUACCGGUGUAGCGGUGAAAUGCGUAGAGAUCGGUAGGAACACCAGUGGCGAAGGCGGUCUCCUGGGGUAUACUUGACGCUGAGGCGCGAAAGCUGGGGGAGCGAACGGG
rnacentral:rRNA from 1 species